AAUCUGAUGCUGUUACCCAGUUGGGUAGUGAAACCUUUGCAAGCAAAGCAAACUUAGAGAGCACCAAGCACUCGACAGUUCAAUCUUGAGUUACAUAUAUUCUUUUCUAUUGGAGAUAUAUCAAUAUUUUGUGAUUUCCUAUAUGCUCUGAUUAUGUGUCAUCAUUAUCAUCAUCACCAUCAUCCAGAAAAGAAAUACCCAGGCAUAGGAAGUAGUGAGAAGGAAGUUGUACUUUUGUGUAUUAAAUGAAUAUUGUGUCUACUCAUCUUCUGGGGAUCUUAAAAGGGUCCUAGGAUCAGACUCAGAUAUAGCAGAAUCCACAACUUCUCUAAGCAACACAUUCCACUACUAGGCUUAUCUUGAGUCCUGCAGCUCAUAUUCCUUGUUGUGACCUUUCAUUAGCCCAGUGUCCUUAGCUCCCUCAGUUAUGUAAUUGAUUGUCGCCACUGAUUUAAAUUGCCUGUAGCUUCAUUAGCAAAAAAUAAUGUUCUCUUCUCUGCUUCUUUCAGACCUAGCAGAUAGUAGGUCUCAAAGUGUUCCUAUUGACCUGCAUUAUUCCUGUGAUGCAAAUCAGAACAGCCACCUUGCUUGUUUGGAAAUGUUGCACAGAGAACACAAUACUUAAUUCAUUGACUUGAUUCAUUUACAGGGAUUUACAUUUCAGACUUUCUUGUCCAAGAAUUGAUCUAUUGGAACAGCUAUAAAUAUAAUGUAAAUUGUAAAUAUUAACAAACAAAAUAUACAGCCAUCAUAGAAUUGAGCCAUUGAUCCCAAGAUAGUUCACUUUUUCUUGACUUUGGCAACUUUUAAGGUGUAAUAUUCAACUCCCAGAAUUCCCCAGCCAGCAUGUUUUUAUGUACUUGCAUGCUGAUAUCAGGUCUCCCCCUCAAUCUUCUUUUUUUUUCUCAGCUGAACAACCUUAAGUUCUUUAAGCUUGUCCAUAAACAUGAUGCUUUCCAGAAGAGUUGGGAUGCUGGAUAGAUGUUUCCCCACCAAACUUCCCUGAAUGAUAUGAAUUUAGGGAUUUGGGGGUAGUUAAACGGAUGAAUUGACAGAAAUAAACAGAAACCAUUACCUAAGUAAAAAGGCUGAAACAUUUUUAAUACCCAGAAUUGAUGAGAGCUGGACAGCAUAUAAGUGAUGAUGAUGAUAAUGAUUGUCCAAAGAUAACAUUUGCAAAUGGCUCAUGCAGACACUUCCCUGAUUUUAGUGGACUACAGUAAGGAACAAUUGGUACAGCACAAUCAAAUUUACAAGGUUUUGCUCUUUUAGCCAAUCUCAGUCAAUAAAAAUAGUUUAGUUUUCACGUGGAAUUCAUUUCCUGAUCUGGUCACCUACUGGAGCUGACAUGUAGAAUAUGCUUGCACAACAUGCUUAGCAUGUUGGUAUGAACCGUGGGUAAGUUACAUAUCCAGUCAUCCAAUCUCGUAGGGAGUGGAUAUUUUGGAUAGCAGCUCAGCCCUUUUCAUGUUUUUCAUAUUUAUACCCUAAAAUGUCAAAGUCCAUGCCCCAUAAAGCAUAGCAGGGGCAAAAAAUACAGAGAAAAACAAAAUGGCUGCCAAAGACUUAUUUUGCAGCUGCCACAAUCAUUACCGGUAAUCUCUAGCUGGAGAUAGGAAAAUGGAUUGAUUUCAGAAUAACCCUGGGUGAAAUUCAGAUGUAAUAGGGAACUCAGGAUAAAGUUCUUUAUGACUCAUCUCAAGUAGAAACAAUGACGAAGAUAUUUGGUGUUAGCUCAAUUUUGUCCCAAGGUCUCAAAUUGAGUAAUACAGAAGGUACUGAUUAGUAUGUGUGCCAGGUGUUGGCUGAGUAGCAUGAUUUAACUGCCUUAAGAAGGUGGAACAGGAAACACUGCAACAGCCAGGCCACUCCUCUUAAUCUUUCAUUCUCCAGAGCUUCAGUGGCAAUGAGGGAGGCCUCCCAAGGAGGACUUGUGAUUGAUGUUGUCUUAGGUCUGAGACUGUAAGAUAAGAGACCCGAAAUCUCUUCUCAUGGAGUGACUGUUAGAGUGAAGGAGACAGACCACUGAUGCCAUUAUAGAUGUUUCAAAAUGUGGUGGCCCAAAUCCAUGAUGGGAUAGUUGCACUGGAAUAUAAUUACGGUAAACUUAUCUUGAAAUUGCUGAAUUUGUUGCUGGGUAUUUUUCAGAGCUAACUUGGAAUACUAAGUAUUGUUGCUUCUUCUUCUUUUUUUUAAAACAUAAUUUCAUUAAUAAAGCAGCAAAAAUAAAGUACAUGCUAAAAAAAUAUGAAAAGGGUGCAAGAAAGCAACUUCCCCAAAAGUGACUUCCUACAAUGUUUAUGACAAAUGUAAGUUCCACAUCUCUCCAUGACUUCUUCAUCGCAAAACUCACGUGUUAACAUUAAGCAAAGCAAAUUAAGUAACCUGUUCUCCAAUCUGUUUAUCAGCAAGACAGAAAUCUAAAAUAUUUAGCUUAACUAACAUAAAAUCAACAUUCCACAUCUUAAUUCUUAGCUAUGACACAAUCCUAUUUAUAAAGCAUAAAAUAUCUUAAUGUAAAAAAAUCAAAAAUCCAAUUUAAUGUAACAUUGAGAAACUUUUCCUCUUUACGUGUGAAAAACCCCAGUACUUAAAUAUUAAUAGUUCCCUGAAAAAAAGCCACUCUAAAUGCAACAUAUCCCGUUCAAACAUUUUAAAUCUUAACUAUAAAUAAAUUCACAAUUCAGAAAUAUAAACUAAUUCCAUUAUCAUAAUAGAAACAAUGGAUUAAAAUAUAACGAGAAAUGACUUGUCCUUUAUAGACAAAUUAAAUUUCUUUACUUAGAAUAAAAAACACAAGUAUUAUCAAAGCUAAGAAAUGAUAAUUUCUUAAAAUAUAAUCAAAUUUAGUAUGCAAUAUUUUCCAAUUACAAUAUCAAUAAAUCCCAAAAAGAGCCACCCAAAAUAAUAACAUAUCCCAUUUUUACCCCUGGUCAAAUAAUCCAACAAUGUACAAAACAUCACUUCUAAAGCCCUUCAUGGCAUUUCACUGAGUUAUAUGAGGCAACUUUUUUUGCUACUUUCUGAUUCAAAUCCCUAGAGAAGGUCUGUCGGGGCCUUCUAGUUUACAAGCUCCAUGGGGUAAGAAUCAGAUAACAGGUUUUUUCAGUGGUGGCCCCCAUUUUUUGUACUACCUUACCCCCAGAAGUGAAAAUAAUUCCCCCUUUCCCUAUAUUUAAGGGACAUAUCAAAACUAUUUUAAUAUAGCAGUUAUUUGAACCCUGGUUUGUGUUGGUAUCUUUUAUUUUAUUUUAUUAUGGUUUUAGUUGUGUGUAGUACCAUAGCUAUGUUGUAUGCUAAACAGGGUUGAUUAAGGUGGCUUGGAAAUACACUAAAUAAAUAUUAGUUGCUGAAUGACAAUGGCUAUUUGUAUCAUCAGAACAAUGGCUUUCAUUUUUUCCUUUGGGAGGGAGAAAGAAACUCAGAUGACAUACUGCAGGCUUCAGUUAUAAGUAUCGUCCAAGUAUAUACGGCUGAGUAUAUAGGCCUAUGUAGAGUAUAUAGGAUUUCAUACAGGAUUUGAAAUCCAAAAUAUGAUUUCUUAAAAAUGUCUGCUUAUUUAUAAUCUUUGUUUCAAUGGUGUUUCUAUGUAAAAUGACCCUUGGCAUUGUCCCUAUUAUUUUUCACUGGGCAUCUGGCUUUCCCAGAUUAGGAUCUUUCUAUUUUUAUGCCUAUCAUAGGGAAAAAUAAAAAGGAAACGAUAAAGACCUUACGUCUGACAGGUCCAGAACCAAAUCCUUUUCCUAGGAGCGCUAGGAUUAGUUUAGUAGAUGGAAGUAAAUAGGAGAUUAUGAAAUCAUUGAAAUGUCACCAAAAGGAAAAGUGGGGCUCAGUAAAAGUGGGAAGGUAUGAAGAGGAGAGAUUGUUCCUGAAAUUAAAAAAAACAAAACAAAACAGAGCAGGAUGUUGUGCUGAAAAUGAAAUGUGCUAUACAAAGUUAUCCAGGUCACUUAGCAAACAAGAAGGAAAGAGUUCUUAAUGCGCACUGGCCUAUCUCGAUCAUAAAAAUCCCAUAUUGCGUGUGACUGCAUUUGCUUUUCCCCCCCCCAUCGGUGUUUUGUUUUUGCCUGAAAUGCAGCUGGAAUGAAGUCUCAACCUAGUCAGUGCAAGAUGGAUUUUCCUCCUUUUAUCUUUAUGGCUUCUCUUGUCUUCACUAUAAGCUUUGUGGGGUGAGAUCUUAUCUUGUUAAUAAAUUGUUGUAUAUAAUGAUUGUGCUUUAAAUAAUUGUAUAUUUACAAACGAGGACUGGUCACAUGUUUAUUUCUUUUUUUGAAGCUUAUACCGCCAUCCAUCUCUUAAAACAAGUGACCAUAUAUAGCGGAUGUGAACAUUACACUGAUUCAGAAGAGAGUAUAUUGAGAUCAGUUCAGUACUUUAUCAUUUAUAUCCUGUGCUCUUUAUUACACAACACAAACCAAUAUAUUUAUUUAACACCUCCUUUAAUUCAGUGAAUUCGGAUUCAAAGUAGGUUGCUGGCAAAAAUAGCUAGUUGUUUUACCAAUUCUACUCUUUAAAGAAGAUUCCCAUGAACAUGAGAGGUUCAACUACAGUUGAUAACUAUGAUGAUGAUUAUUAUUUUUAAAUUCAUGUAUUCUGUUCUUAGGUGGAGCUUCCAGUUAUCUGCCAUCCAGAAUGUUUAUCAGGCUAACAUCUGCUCACUCCAGCUGCUGGUAUUUCCAAACUGUUUAAUAGCUGUUCUUGCAUCAACUUUUCCUUUGAAAAGCUAAGCAGUGGGUUUAUGAGGUGAGAUGAGUGGAUUUAUCUUGCUAGCAAAGAGACUUGCCAACAUACAAUCAGUAUUUAAGAUUUCAGCACUUGAGAUUCUUUAUAGGGAAUAGUAUGAGACCUGCUUCAUCCAAAUGCUCUACUCCUGGUAUUGAUAUAUGGAAACCUUACUUAUAUGGAUUUCAAUUACCAGAAUUCCUCAACUAGCAUGAUGCUAACCCAGAAUUUGAUGAUUUGCUGGUCACAUAAGAUAUUUUGGGCAAGUAAACUUUAAACAAAACAGUUGCAAUAUUUAGGACGUCUUGGAAUGUUAUGACCACCAUAGUCUAUCUUGCUUCUGUCCACAGUGCAAUUUCAUUUGGUUGUAGAACGGAUUUCAAUGAGAUCAACUCAAUACGGUUCUUCAAAAAAGAAGCUCAAGAUGAAAAAAUUUGUAGACAAAAGGAAUUUCUCCAUGGAUAAAGCUCACUUUAUAUACCUGGGAUCAACUGAGGAGGAUUUUUCUUCACUGUUCUCUUUUGGAGUUCAAGAUUACUGUUGACUUCAAUGGCCAGGGGCCCAUCUAUGAUCAGUGAAAGGAAGAGAGUGCAGAACAGUAGAUGCAUCUGAAACACAAAUCAGAAGAUCAUUUCAGAUUUUGGAAACAUUGCCAAUAAACUGCUAUUUUAUUAAUUCCCUUCCCCUCUGUCCCUGCUAGUGCUCUUAUGUUUUAAACACAAGUCUUACAUAUUAAAAAACAAAGAAUAAACUUUUAUUCAGGCACUUUUAAAAUAUUUAGCUAUAGGUAAGUAUGGCUGGAGCUAGAAAAAUGUGGUCAAUUUGAGUAGUAAGAAAUGAGGGGGGAGGGAAAUGCCAGGCUUUUGAACAUCAAGCCAAAAUGAUUCAAUGCACAUUGCAUAAGCUAUUUUUGAAGACAAGAAUUCCCCAUUAAACAAGUCACCAAUUCAAUUUACUCUUAAGUAACUGUCCAAAAAAUCAUAGAUUGAAUGACUACAGCGAACUGGUAACUUACUAUGAUUGACUGAUUGAACUGAAUUAUAUAGUAUGGAGGAGAGACAUUUAUAUUUGUUCAAUUUACCCCCCCCCCUUUCUGCAAUUCUUGGAGGAAAGGAGUAUUUCCAUUACAUGCCUUGUUGCCAAUUAGAGUGGAGAAGUUGCCUAUAAUGAGAUGAAGCCCAGGUGUACUAGAUGUGGCUGCUAGGGCCAACAUAACUUUAAAAAAUGACAUUUUGAUCUCUAGCAGAAAAAGAUGAGUGGAAGUUUGCCUUCCUGGGCAUAUGAAGAUCAGGCAUUUCAGACUCAUAUAUAAGAUGUAGCUCAAUUUUUACCCCAAGAAGAUGGUUUUUAGAGAAAUCACCGUGUCACUCUACUACAAAUAAUAAACUACAAAGACAAGGCUACUGAGCAAAAAUAGAGGCACUGAUUUUAAGCCGAAAAACAUCAGUAAAAUGUCACCAGGAUAUUUAUCUGCCCUUCUUCUAAAAGACAUCUAUCCACAAGUCACGUUAGAGAUCCUCAGUCAUCCAAGUAAUAGUUGUCCUAAAGGUGC